rnacentral:rRNA from 1 species
UACGGAGGGGGCUAGCGUUGUUCGGAAUUACUGGGCGUAAAGCGCGCGUAGGCGGCUUUGUAAGUUAGAGGUGAAAGCCCGGAGCUUAACUCCGGAACUGCCUUUAAGACUGCAUCGCUAGAAUUGUGGAGAGGUGAGUGGAAUUCCGAGUGUAGAGGUGAAAUUCGUAGAUAUUCGGAAGAACACCAGUGGCGAAGGCGACUCACUGGACCGGUACUGACGCUGAUGCGCGAAAGCGUGGGGAGCAAACAGG